UGGGGAAUUUUGGACAAUGGGCGAAAGCCUGAUCCAGCAAUGCCGCGUGUGUGAAGAAGGCCUUCGGGUUGUAAAGCACUUUUGUCCGGAAAGAAAUCCUUGGCUCUAAUACAGUCGGGGGAUGACGGUACCGGAAGAAUAAGCACCGGCUAACUACGUGCCAGCAGCCGCGGUAAUACGUAGGGUGCAAGCGUUAAUCGGAAUUACUGGGCGUAAAGCGUGCGCAGGCGGUUUGCUAAGACCGAUGUGAAAUCCCCGGGCUCAACCUGGGAACUGCAUUGGUGACUGGCAGGCUAGAGUAUGGCAGAGGGGGGUAGAAUUCCACGUGUAGCAGUGAAAUGCGUAGAGAUGUGGAGGAAUACCGAUGGCGAAGGCAGCCCCCUGGGCCAAUACUGACGCUCAUGCACGAAAGCGUGGGGAGCAAACAGGAUUAGAUACCCUGGUAGUCCACGCCCUAAAACGAUGUCAACUAGUUGUUGGGGAUUCAUUUCCUUAGUAACGUAGCUAACGCGUGAAGUUGACCGCCUGGGGAGUACGGUCGCAAGAUUAAAAACUCAAAGGAAUUGACGGGGUCAUAGCUGUUUCCU
rnacentral:rRNA from 1 species